UGACAGAUUUGCAAGCAACCACCCCACAUGC
rnacentral:piRNA from 1 species